rnacentral:rRNA from 1 species
AUACGGAGGAUCCGAGCGUUAUCCGGAUUUAUUGGGUUUAAAGGGAGCGUAGGCGGACGCUUAAGUUAGUUGUGAAAGUUUGCGGCUCAACCGUAAAAUUGCAGUUGAUACUGGGUGUCUUGAGUACAGUAGAGGCAGGCGGAAUUCGUGGUGUAGCGGUGAAAUGCUUAGAUAUCACGAAGAACUCCGAUUGCGAAGGCAGCUUGCUGGACUGUAACUGACGCUGAUGCUCGAAAGUGUGGGUAUCCAACAGGAUUAGAUACCCUGGUAGUCCACACAGUAAACGAUGAAUACUCGCUGUUUGCGAUAUACAGUAAGCGGCCAAGCGAAAGCGUUAAGUAUUCCACCUGGGGAGUACGCCGGCAACGGUGAAACUCAAAGGAAUUGACGGGG